rnacentral:rRNA from 1 species
CCUACGGGAUGCAGCAGUGGGGGAUAUUGGACAAUGGGGGGAACCCUGAUCCAGCGACGCCGCGUGAGUGAAGAAGUAUUUCGGUAUGUAAAGCUCUGUCAGCAGGGAAGAAAGCAAUGACGGUACCUGACCAAGAAGCCCCGGCUAACUACGUGCCAGCAGCCGCGGUAAGACGUAGGGGGCAAGCGUUAUCCGGAAUUACUGGGUGUAAAGGGAGCGUAGACGGCUGUGCAAGUCUGGAGUGAAAGGCGGGGGCCCAACCCCCGGACUGCUCUGGAAACUGUAUGGCUGGAGUGCAGGAGAGGUAAGCGGAAUUCCUAGUGUAGCGGUGAAAUGCGGAGAUAUUAGGAGGAACACCAGUGGCGAAGGCGGUCUGCUGGACAGCAACUGACGCUGAGGCGCGAAAGCGUGGGGAGCAAACAGGAUUAGAUAUCCUAGUAGUC